rnacentral:rRNA from 1 species
GUCUAGAGGACAGAAGAGGAGAGUGGAACUCCUGGUGUAGCGGUAAAAUGCGUGGAUAUCAGGAGGAAGGCCGAUGGCGAAGGCAGCUCUCUGGUAUGUUCCUGACGCUGAGGCACGAAAGCUAGGGUAGCAAACCGGAUUAGAUACCCGGGUAGUCCUAGCCGUAAACGAUGUACACUAGGUAUUGGGAUUUGCUCAGUGCCGAAGUUAACGCAUUAAGUGUACCGCCUGGGGACUACGGCCGCAAGGCUAAAACUCAAAGGAAUUGACGGGGCCCCGCACAAGCGGUGGAUGAUGCGGUUUAAUUCGUUGCUACGCGAAGAACCUUACCUGGGCUUGACAUGUACGUGGUACGGAUCCGAAAGGUGAAGGACCGGGGUUUUCCCUGGAGCGUACACAGGUGCUGCACGGCUGUCGUCAGCUCGUGCCGUGAGGUGUUGGGUUAAGUCCCGCAACGAGCGCAACCCCUGCCGAUAGUUGCCAUCAGGUUAUGCUGGGCACUCUAUCGGGACUGCCUGGGUUAACCAGGAGGAAGGUGGGGAUGACGUCAAGUCAUCGUGGCCUUUAUGCCCAGGGCUACACGCGUCAUACAGUGGCCGUUACAGAGGGUUGCCACACUGCAAAGUGGAGCUAAUCCCGUAAAGCGGCCAUGGUUCGGAUUGCAGGCUGCAACUCGCCUGCAUGAAGGUGGAAUCGCUAGUAAUCGCAGAUCAGCAACGC